rnacentral:tRNA from 1 species
CCUGAUGGCUCAAAUGGUAAAGUGUCUGCCUGCAAAGCAGAAGACCUUGGUUCGAUCCCUGGAUCAGGA